AACGAACGCUGGCGGCGCGCCUAACACAUGCAAGUCGGACGCACUCGCAAGAGUGAGUGGCGGACGGGUGAGUAACACGUGGGAACCUGCCCUGGGGUCUGGGAUAGCUGCGGGAAACUGCAGGUAACACCGGAUGUGCCCUUUGGGGGAAAGUUUACGCCCUGGGAUGGGCCCGCGUCGGAUUAGGUAGUUGGUGGGGUAAUGGCCUACCAAGCCUUCGAUCCGUAACCGGUCUGAGAGGAUGAUCGGUCACACUGGGACUGAGACACGGCCCAGACUCCUACGGGAGGCAGCAGUGGGGAAUCUUGGACAAUGGGGGCAACCCUGAUCCAGCGACGCCGCGUGGGUGAUGAAGGCCUUCGGGUCGUAAAGCCCUUUUGCCGGGGACGAUGAUGACGGUACCCGGAGAAGAAGCACCGGCUAACUCUGUGCCAGCAGCCGCCGUAACAC
rnacentral:rRNA from 1 species